rnacentral:rRNA from 1 species
AGUGAACGCUGGCGGUAGGCCUAACACAUGCAAGUCGAACGGCAGCACAGUAAGAGCUUGCUCUUACGGGUGGCGAGUGGCGGACGGGUGAGGAAUACAUCGGAAUCUACUUUUUCGUGGGGGAUAACGUAGGGAAACUUACGCUAAUACCGCAUACGACCUACGGGUGAAAGCAGGGGAUCUUCGGACCUUGCGCGAUUGAAUGAGCCGAUGUCGGAUUAGCUAGUUGGCGGGGUAAAGGCCCACCAAGGCGACGAUCCGUAGCUGGUCUGAGAGGAUGAUCAGCCACACGGAAACUGAGACACGGUCCAGACUCCUACGGGAGGCAGCAGUGGGGAAUAUUGGACAAUGGGCGCAAGCCUGAUCCAGCCAUACCGCGUGGGUGAAGAAGGCCUUCGGGUUGUAAGCCCUUUUGUUGGGAAAGAAAAGCAGCAGGUUAAUACCCCGCUGUUCUGACGGUACCCAAAGAAUAAGCACCGGCUAACUUCGUG